GCGAGCUGCAUCCAUUAUAUCUGCUAUCGGUGGUGAGGAAGUGAAAAGCAGUCUCGACAGAGGAUUAGACUACAAACCCUCCAUUAAAAGGAGGGAAUUAUCAUACCAUUCACGUGAUGAAUGUGUCACGCCACAGGAAGACACCUCAUAAUGGCUAACAUCGGGGGCAUCUUUGUGUAUUUUCAUGAACAUGGUAUGAAAAGGAGGUCCUUAGCCCUGGUGAUGGAGGCUGCUGCAGCUACAGGACUACCUGUGUCUUUAGUUAAGAACUGGAUUUGUAACUAUGGGUGUUCACUUAAUACCUCCUGCAACACCCGGCGCCGCAAAGCUGCUGGUUAUAAGUGCAGUGUCUGCCUAUAACUUGUUUUGCGCAGAGCUGCUGAAGGGGAAAGGGGCUACACUGCUAAAUGCAACGUCUCCUAUGGUGCGGAGCCUGGUGCAAGGAAUUAUGAGGAGGCCAUUGUUAGAGGAGUGCAGGUCGGAAUGUAGGGGUGCAGAAGGUCAGUAACGUAUGAUGGCGCCAGUCCAUCGGGUGCUUUGUAGGUGAGCAUUAGAAGUUUGAAGGUGAUCCUGUAUUGGUCAAGUAAGCCAAUAGCGCACAACACUUUCACCAUGACAAUAUCCUCUGUUAUAGUUGACAUCAGUAGACAAUAUUGUCAUCUCAGGUGAUCCUACAAUCCUCAGUGGCAGGUGGGGGAGUUUAGGUGAGAUGGAGAGGAGGAAAUUCCAGAAGAUGGCUGAGGAGCUCAGGGAGUCAAGGGAUAAAGGACAGAUGACUGAAGACGUUACGGCAAGAAAAGUUGAUGACCACGGUGCACAACUGAGCAAGAGGACAAAUGAAUGUGGUGAAAAAGGUUGGUUCCCUUAUUGCUCUUUUGAGGAGAGGACCGUAAUUCGAUGUCUGGGGCAUGAGUUAACCAUCAAGCGACCGUCAUCUUAUGGAAAGAAACAGCUGGAAGACAUACUGGCAAAGGCAGGGGACUUCGAAUUCAAAAUGAUUUUUUCUCAUUCUGUCUUGUUUUUGUUCAAUUUUCCAAUGAAAUGUGUACUUGACAUAUACUUGAAAUGUAUACUUGAAAUUCAUUAAAAAUCCUACAAUGUGAUUUUCUG